AAUGUCCCCUGAGAAGUUUAACCAUUUGAAAGAUGCACAAGAGAUUAUCAUUCAGCAGUUAACUACCCCUGAAAAUGAUGAACUUUCUCCACUUGCUCAAAAGCCCACAACUUGGUCUCCAGCUCAGCUCUCCUCAGACAUUGUAAGUCCAUUGAAUGAUGAGAUGGAAUUUUUCACCUGAAGAUCUGUCUUCAAUAUUCAGAAAUAAUUCAACUUUGCCUAAAAUCACAGUUAAAAAUGUGGAUAUAGAGUUUACCAUACCUACAGCAGUCACUAUAGAGGUUGAACCUUCUCCAGUCCAGCAGGACAACCCUCCUAUUUCCAGUGAGCAGGCUGACUUUUCUCUAGCCCAGCCUGAUUCCCCUUCCCUACCUCUGGAGUCUCCUGAAGAGAGUGAAUCUUCAGCCCAGCAAGAGGCUACAGCUCAGACUCCAAAUCCCCCUAAGGAGGUAGAACCUUCUCCAGUCCAGCAAGAGUUUCCAGCUGAGCCAACAGAGCCUGCUAAGGAGGUUGAACCAUCUGCAACCCAGCAGGAAGCCUCAGGUCAUCCUCUGAAGUCCACAAAAGAGGUCAAUCCUCCACCAAAGCAGGAGAUACCAGCUCAGCCAUCAGAGCCACCUGAGAAGGUUGAACUAUCUCCAGUCCUACAGCAGGCCCCAACUCAGCUUUUAGAGCCACUUAAAAAGGUAGAAUGCUCUCCAGUCCAGCAGGCAGUCCCUGCUCAGUCUUCAGAGCCCUCUAUUGUGGUAGAACCCUCUCCAGUCCAGCAGAUAGCCCAUCUUUGCCUCCAGAGCUCCCUCAGGAAGUGGAACCCUCUCUAACUCAGCAAAACUUUCCAGCUCAGACUCCAUACCCCCUAUGGAGGCAGAGCCUUCUCCAAACCAGCAGGAGGCCACAGUUCAGGCUUCAGAGCCCCCCAAGAAUAUAGAACUUUCAAGCCAGCAGAUGGUCCCAGGUCAGCUUCCAGAGCCACCUAAGCGGGUUGCAGCUCAACAUCCAAUGCAUUAUGAGAUGAUAAUUUCAACAGCAAGGCAGGACCAGGCUCAGUAUCCAGUGUCACCCAGUGUCACAUUUCAACCUUUAGACCUAGGGCUUACUAUAACUCCAGUAUCCACAAAGGAGGCUGAGCAUUCGACAACCCUGAGAAAAACUGCAGUUCCUCCAAAACACCCUGAAGUGACUCUUGCAACUCCAGACCAUGUGCAGGCUCAGCACACAAACCUAACUGAGGUCACAGUUUAAACUUUGGAUCUGAAACUUACCACAACUCCACAACCUACUGCAGAGAAUAUAUUUCCUCCAACCAUGGAGAACUCAAAUCAACUUCCAGAACCACCUACGGAGGUUGUAGCUCAACUUCCACCUCGUUAUGAGGUGACAAUUCCAACACAAGGUCAGGAUCAAGCUCAGCUUUCAACACUGGCCAGUGUCACACUUCAACCUUUGGACCUGGGGUUUAUCAUCACUCCAGAAUCCACUACAGAAAUUGAACUUUCUCCAACCAUGCAGGAGACCCCAACUCAGCCUCCUAAGGAAUUUGUACCCCAACCUCCAGUAUAUCAAGAGGUGAGUGUUCCAACACCGGGUCAGGAUCAAGCUCAGCAUCCAAUGUCACCUAGCGUUACAGUUCAACCUCUGGACCUGGUGGACUUACCAUAACUCCAGAACCCACUACAGAGGUUGAACAUUCUACACCCCUGAAAAAGACUACAGUUCCUCCAAAGCACCCUGAGAUGACACUUCCACAUCCACACCAGGUUCAGACUCUACAUUCAAACCUGAUUCAAGUCACAGUUCAACCUUUGGGUCUGAAACUUACCUUAACUCUAUGGAGGUUGAAUCCUCUAUGGAGGUUGAGCCUUCUCCAACCAUGCAGAAGACCCCAACUCGGCCUCCAGAGCUACCUAAGGAGUUUGUAGCUCAACCGCCUGUGUAUUAUUAUCAGAUACCCAUUCCAACACCAAGCCAAGAUCAAGCUCUGCCCUUCUACAGCCCCGAUGACUACAGCUCCUCCUCCAAAGCAUCCUGAAAUGACACAUCCACCUCCAGACAAGAACCAGGCUCAGCAUCCAAACCUGACUCAAUUCACAGUUCAAUCUUUGGACCUGGAGCUUACCAUAACUACAGAACCUACUACAGAGGUUAAAACUUCUCCAACCAUGGAGGAGACCUCAACUCAGCCUUCAGACCUGGGAUUUGCCAUAGUUCCAGAACUCACCAUAGAGACUGAACAUUCUACAGGCCUGGACAAGACUACAGCUCCACAUCCAGACCAAGUUCAGACUCAGCAUUGAAACCUGACUGAAGUCACACAUUUCACCUUCUGAACUAGAACCUACUCAGAAUUCACUGGUGCAGUCUGAAAGUUAUGCCCAAAAUAAGGCUUUAACUGCACAGGAGGAACCGAAGGCCUCUACAAGCACCAACAUAUGUGAUCUCUAUACCUGCAGAGAUGAAACACUCUCAUGUAUUGAUCUCAGCCCAAAGCAGAGGCUCCACCAAGUGCCUGUACCAGAGCCCAGCACCUGCAAUGACACCUUCACCAUCCUGUGAGAAUCGUCUUUCCUCAAUUGUUCUGUGUCCUGCCUGACAUGACAGCCUUUUCGUGGAGGCCUUCCUGGGCCUCCUUUAUCUCACCAAACCGAACUGACAACGGACUUUCUGCUUUCACCUUUCUUGUCAAUUCUUCCUUCUCCUGGUUCUCCUUUACUGUUAGGCCCCUUCUCUGGUCUUUUACUUGUGAUUGCUCUUAACCCUUUUCUUAUCCACUUUCCUUUAGCCCCAUCACAUCAUUGCUUAACAGCGGCUCUCCUCCCAUUUUCACUUCACCCUCUUUACAGCAGCCUGUCCCUCUUCCCAUCUCAGUGAUGAUGCUCUAAGUGGUUAAGAGUUGAUUCUGUAGCCAGGCUGCCUGGGUUUGAACCCAGGUCUGUCAUUUAUUAGCUUGGUUACCCUGAGCAAGUUAUUCUUCUCUGUGACUCAGUUUCCUCGUCUUUAAACUGGGGAUUAUGCUAGUUACCAUGCCAUAGGAUUGUUGUGAGAUUUAAGUGAGUGCAUACAUGUAUUGCUUACAUCGGUGCCUAGCAUAUGUGGGAGUGUUGGCUGCUAACAUGAUUACUCAGUCCUUUAGUUAUGUCCAGAACGCAUCUUUGUCCCUGGCUUUCUAUCUGUAGCAGUCGUUUUCUGUCAACCCUUGGCCAAGUAUGAUACUGUCUUCAGAAAUGAAAAUGAUAGGAGGGAAGAAAGAGACUAGGCAUGAAAAGGAGGUAUAUAUAAUGAAAUACUACAAGAUAAUGCAGACCAUCGGUGCUAGGAUUCACCAGAAUCUGUGAUCCUUGAGGUGUGGAGAUCAGGGAAAGCUACAUCAAUAAGCUAAAACUUACUUGGGACUUAAAGUGUAGCUAUAAUUUGUUAAAUAGAAAACAAAUGGGAGUACAGUCUAGGCAAAGUCAUGAUUACAGGUAUGGUUGAAAUUUGGUAGACAAGGCUGCAGCUCAGCCUCCAGAGAACCCCAGGGAGGUGGACUCUUCCUCAACCCAAUUAGAGGGCCCAGCUCAGACACCAGAGUGCACUGAGGAGAUGAAAUAUUUUGCCCCCAGCAGGGGACCCCAGCUGAGCCUCCAGGUCCUCCUGUGGAGGCUGAACCUUCCCCCAGUCAGCAGGAGCAGCCAGCUCAGCCUUCUGAGUUUUCUGGGGAGGUGGAAUUUUCUCAGACCCAGGAGACCCCCAACUCUGCCUCCAGAGUCUUCUAUAGAGAGUGUAGCUCAAACUCCACUGAAUCAUGAAGUGACAGUUCAAACUCAGGGUGAGGAUCAAGCUCAUUAUACCUUGCCGAGCAUUACAGUUAAACCUGCAGAUGUAGAGAUUAGCAUAACUUCAGAGCCUACCACGGACACUGACUCUUCUCCAGCCCAGCAGGCGGCCCCAAACCAGCAUCCAGAGCAGGUGUAACCUUCUGCAACCCAACAGGAGGCCACAACUGAGCCUCCAGGUCCUCAUGUGAAUGCUGAACAUUCCCCAGUGAGCAGGAGCAGCCAGGUCUGCCUUCUGGGUUUUCUGGAGAAGUUGAGUCCUCUCUAGCCUGCAGGAGACCCCAGCCCAGCCUCCAGAACAUCAUCAAGUAACAGUUCCACCUCCUGGUCACCAUCAAGUUCAACACUGAGAUUUGCCCAAUGUCACUGUUAAGCCUCCAAAUAUGCAGCUCACCAUAGCAACACAGCCUACUGCAGAGGUGGGAACUUCGCCAGUCCAUCAGGAGGCUACAGCUCAGCUCUCAGGGCCAGUUAAUGAUGUGGAACAUUCUGACAUCCAGCAUGGGGCCCCGCCUCUGCCUACAGAGUCAUCGGAAGAGACUGGACCUUUACCAGUUCAACAGGAGACUUCAGCUGAAUCUCCAGAACCUACUAAAGAUGAGAACCCCUCUCCAAUACAGUAGGAGGCUGCAGGUGAGCAUCCACAGACCCCUGAGUAGGUCGAGUCUUCUCCAACCCAGCAAGAUGCCCCAGCUCAGCCUUCAGAGCUCCCUAAUGAAGUUGUAGCUCAACCUCCAGAGCAUCACAGAGUAAUAGUUUCUCCUGUAAGUCAUGAGGAAGUUCAGCCUCCAACAUUUCACCAUGUCAUUGUUAAGCCUGUGGAUCACAUGGUUACCAUGACUCCAGAGUUCACCUAUCAGGUGGAAGUUUUAACUCAACACAGGGCCCCAGCUCAGCCUUUAAUAUCCCCUGAGCAGUUUAAACAUUUGAAAGACCAGCAAAAGAUUAUCAUUCAGCAGCUAAAUACCCCUGGAAAUGAUGAACUUCCGCCAAAUCUAUCAAGAGCCCAUGACUCCAUCUCCAACUCAGCUCUCCUCAGACAUUGUAAGUUCGUUUAAUUGUAAGAUGGUAUUUUCAUCUCUAGAUGUGUCUUCCGUAUUCAGAAGUAGUUCAACUUUGCCUAAUACCACAGUUAAAUAUGUGAAUAUUGGCCGGGCAUGGCGGCUCACGCCUGUAAUCCCAGCACUUUGGGAGGCCAAGGCAGGCAGAUCAUGAGGUCAGGAGAUCCAGACCAUCCUGGCUAACAUGGUGAAACCCCGUCUCUACUAAAAAUACAAAAAAUUAGCCAGGUGUUGUCGCAGGCGCCUGUAGUCCCAGCUACUCAGGAGGCUGAGGCAGGAGAAUGGCAUGAACCCGGGAGGCAGAGCUUGCAGUGAGCCGAGAUCGCGCCACUGCACUCCAGCCUGGGCGACAGAGGGAGACUCCAUCUCAAAAAAAAAAAAAGGAUCUAGCAUAAGUAUGGACUAAUUUUUUUAUCUUGCCUGAAUUCCUAUCUAAGGGGUCUGAGGAGUCAUGCCCUACAAAUCGUAAAUUCUCAUCAGAUGGGUCUUAUUUAACCCUAUAUAUCAUGAUUUACUUUCCAGCCUGACCGUGUCAUAACAUUGCAAGACAAAGAAAAUCAAAAUAUUUUACCCCAAAACAUGUUAUUUUGCCAUAUUUUUGAAUGGCCCUGCAAAGCUUCUCUUUGUGGGAGAAAUUUUGUAUCUGUAAAGCAUCUCUAUUAACAUAGCUAGAUCUUUUUCUUCUAGAACCUCCCAAUCCUAAAGAGAUUCACUAAGAUCUGAAUAGGAAACAUUUGUCACCUAUUUCUCUAAGGGCAGCCACUAUAAGACUUCAAAAGAACUUUGGUCUCCACAAUCUUUAUCGUAACCUGAACAUUCCCUUUCUAUCUAUCCCAGGUCUUGAGACAAACUCAACCUUAAUUGUCAAUCAGAAAAUGUUUAAAUUCACCUAUAGCCUGAAAGCCCCCAACUCCACUUUGAGUUGUUCCACCUUUCUGGACCAAACCAAUGUAUUUCUUAAAUGUAUGUGAUUGAUGUCUCAUGCCUCUCUAAAAUGUAUAAAACGAAGCUACGCCCUGACCACCCUGGACACAUGUUCUCAGGACUUCCUGAGGGCUGUGUCAUGGGCCAUGGUCACUCAUAUUUGGCUCAGAAUAAAUCUCUUCAAAUAUUUUACAGUUCAACUCUUUUCAUCGACAUACGGACACUUGAAGUGAAGAAGCAGAGGAAAGAGAAUGAAGUGGGAAAAAUAUAAAGAAAUAAUUACAGAAAACUUCCCAAAUUUUCUGAAAGGCUUGAAUUUACAAAUUCAAGGUCAGCAAACCCCAUAUAGGAUUGAUUCAGAGAAACCUAUACUUAGGCAUAUCAAAGUCAAACUGCUGAAAGCAAAAAAAGAGAGAAUUUUGAAAGCAGGAGAGAAAAGUGGCACAAUACAUAUGGGAAAACAACUAUUUGAAUAACUGAAGACUUUUUUUUUUUUUUUGAUGGAGGGCCAGAUAGGUGGAUUCAAAGAUUUUCUGAUUGGCAAUUGGUUGAGUUAUUACCUAAAAACCUGGAAUCAUUAGAAAGGAAUGUCUAGGUUACCAUAAGGGGUUGUGGAGACCAAGCUGUUAUCAUGCAGAUGAAGCCUCCAGGUAUCAGGCUUCAGAGAGAGUAGAUUUUAAAUAUUUCUUAUCAGACUUCAAGAGUCUGUUCUAUCAGUCUUAAGAUCUUUUUGACGUGAAUGGUAACAAGGCGUGUCUGACUCCCCCCUUCCGAUCAUGACCUGAACUAGUUUUUCAGGUUAACUUUAGAAUGCCCUUGGCCGAGAGGAGGUGCCCAUUCAGAUGGCUGAAGGGCUUCAAAUUUUAUUUUUGGUUUACAGCCCAUUCUUCAUCAAACCUAAGCAUAAAAAAACAGCAGUUUUCCCCUGGGUAUCUGUGUCAUUUCUGAAGGUUCCAGUGUCACGCAAGACUUUGAUUUUUAAAAUUAAAUAAAUUUGUUAUGCUUUA